CCCGGGCCUUGUACACACCGCCCGUCACACCAUGGGAGUUGGUUUUACCUUAAGACGGUGCGCUAACCGCAAGGGAGCAGCCGGCCACGGUAAGGUCAGCGACUGGGGUG
rnacentral:rRNA from 1 species